CGGAAAACGGCGAGUUCAACCGAUUGUGACACACAACACGCCCGAACACACAGCCAGCGGAAAGCUCUAAGUGCUUACAACAUGUUGGACAUUAUUACCCCCCAGGAUAACCUGGGGAGGCGCUAGAAGGACAAUAGUUUUAUCCCACCGGGUACCCACCAUCUGCUGGGUGAACAGGGACAAUUUUUUAACAAACUCACUUGCCUCCUGGUAAGACCACACAUGUGUCAUGUGUACUUCGUUGUGGAGCAGGACAGAAGUCCAAGAAACAGAAAUCAAGCUACCGAACACGGUCACCCAUCCAGGAUCUCUCCGUGACCAACGUUCCUUAACUUCAUCUUUUUGUGGCCUUGGGCUCUAUGCCCAUGAAAUUGUAUAUAUGCCAAUAUAAUUUGGUUAGUGCAAAACUAUAUUUCGACACAAUUAUUUGUAAAUUUGUGGUUGUUAAUUUUGCAAUUUCAAUGUAUUCAUAUAUCAUUUGAAUUAAAUAUUGAAUAUAUUAUGUACUAUGAAACUUAUUACAUUUUCUUGAAUUUAUAGAAAGCUAUUGUUUAUUUUAGUUUUCUGAACCUCAUCAACGUAACAACUAUACUCAACUCAAAGCAACUAAUAUUCAUCUGUGUAAUCCUCAGUCACAGCCAUGUACAAUGAACUGUAAAAUCUAAUGUUAAUAGUAUUACAAUAAACCCUGUUGAUGCGA